GGGGGGCAAGCGUUGUUCGGAAUUACUGGGCGUAAAGGGCUCGUAGGCGGCCAACUAAGUCAGACGUGAAAUCCCCAGGCUCAACCUGGGAACUGCGUCUGAUACUGGAUGGCUUGAAUCCGGGAGAGGGAUGCAGAAUUCCAGGUGUAGCGGUGAAAUGCGUAGAUAUCUGGAGGAAUACCGGUGGCGAAGGCGGCAUCCUGGACCGGCAUUGACGCUGAGGAGCGAAAGCUAGGGGAGCAAACGGGAUUAGAUACCCCGGUAGUCCUAGCCCUAAACGAUGAAUGCUUGGCGUAACGGGUAUCGAUCCCUGUUGUGCCGAAGCUAACGCAUUAAGCAUUCCGCCUGGGGAGUACGGUCGCAAGGCUG
rnacentral:rRNA from 1 species